AGUCAUGUCCAUGAUUUUGAGUUGCUGUGCAGCUGUGCUUCAGACAUCCAUGCAGUCCCCUAAGGGAUCACCAUCCAGGUCCAUUUUUCGUCAAAUUGUUGUGCCCAUGCUUCGAGUUUGUGUGCAUCAGGCAACCAUGUAGUCUUCCACGGGAUCAUCCCCAUGUCCAUUCAAAAUGUCGUGUCCAUGCUUCAAACUGCUGUGCUUCAUGCAAUCGUC